GACGAAGGUCCCAAGCAUUACCCGGAUUUACUGGGUGUAAAGGGUGAGCAGGCGGAAGUAAAAGUUCUAUCUUAAAUCUUUACUGCUUAACAGUAAAGGUGGAUAGAAUACUUUACUUCUAGAGAAUGGCAGGGGACAGCGGAACGCACGGUGUAGGGGUGAAAUCCGUUGAUAUCGUGCGGAACGCCGAAGGCGAAGGCAGCUGUCUAGGCCAUUUCUGACGCUGAUCUCACGAAAGCUAGGGGCGCAAACCGG
rnacentral:rRNA from 1 species